CUGCCAUACCUUUCGAGAGCGAGUACCCUGAGAUGUUGAACAGGUGGGACCCAUUCACCGUCUCGGUCAUCGACGUCGAUGUCGUCGUCGGAGUCGGAGUUGGAGUCGACCCAGACAAAGAAGAUGAAGAAGAAGAAAACAUCGGCUGAGACUUAGGAGAGACAAUUCGUCUCAUUUAUAGCAAGGGAUCUGGGUAGAGAUAAAAAUUUCGAUGUUUGGUUAGUGAGAAAAUCUAGUAUUUGGUCAAUUGUUGGAGAGAGAAAUGGUUGAACGAUGACUUUGAACUGUGGGAUUGACCAGUGAAAUGGUGGAACUCGUUAGAAGAAGAA